rnacentral:rRNA from 1 species
GACGAACGCUGGCGGCGUGCCUAAUACAUGCAAGUAGAACGCUGAAGAGAGGAGCUUGCUCUUCUUGGAUGAGUUGCGAACGGGUGAGUAACGCGUAGGUAACCUGCCUGGUAGCGGGGGAUAACUAUUGGAAACGAUAGCUAAUACCGCAUAAGAACAUUUACUGCAUGGUAGAUGUUUAAAAGGUGCAAAUGCAUCACUACCAGAUGGACCUGCGUUGUAUUAGCUAGUAGGUGAGGUAACGGCUCACCUAGGCGACGAUACAUAGCCGACCUGAGAGGGUGAUCGGCCACACUGGGGACUGAGACACGGCCCCAGACUCCUACGGGAGGCAGCAGUAGGGGAAAUCUUUCGGCAAAUGGGGGGGAAACCCCUGACCCGAGCCAACGGCCCGCGUGAAGUGAAAGAAAGG